rnacentral:rRNA from 1 species
GAUGAACGCUGGCGGCGUGCUUAACACAUGCAAGUCGAACGAAGCACUUUGCUUGAUUUCCUUCGGGAAUGAUUGUUCUGUGACUGAGUGGCGGACGGGUGAGUAACGCGUGGAUAACCGUGCCUCACACAGGGGGAUAACAGUUGGAAACGGCUGCUAAUACCGCAUAAGCGCACAGCACCGCAUGGUGACAGUGUGAAAAACUCCGGUGGUGUCGAGAUGGGAUUCCGCGUUCUGGAUUAGCUUGUGGCGGGUAACGCCACAAGGCGACGAUCAGUAGCC